UACGGAGGGUGCAAGCGUUAUCCGGAAUCACUGGGUUUAAAGGGUGCGUAGGCUGUUAGAUAAGUCAGUUGUGAAAUUCCCCGGCUUAACCGGGUGGACUGCGAAUGAUACUGUUUAACUUGAAUGAGGUUGAGGUAGGCGGAAUGUGGCAUGUAGCGGUGAAAUGCUUAGAUAUGCCAUAGAACACCGAUAGCGAAGGCAGCUUGCUACACGAGUAUUGACACUGAGGCACGAAAGCGUGGGGAUCAAACAGG
rnacentral:rRNA from 1 species